GGAGCGGUAGUUCAGUCGGUUAGAAUACCUGCCUGUCACGCAGGGGGUCGCGUUCCGCCA
rnacentral:tRNA from 1 species